rnacentral:lncRNA from 1 species
GCAAACUGAGGCAAUUUUGGUCGGCAAACAAGCAAGAAGAUGGCCAACAAUUUGGAACCAAUAAAAGACCGACGGUGGUGAAGGCAAAAAGUGACAAGGCAGCGGUGGAAUUUAGAAAGAAUGAUGGCAGAGGUUCAAAACAACGUAUUUCUAACCCUAAAUUUUAUGAUGGAGAUCGAAACAAACGGGAGUAGGGUUUUGAAGCUAAUUAAAGUAGCAUGGACGGCUUAGAUAAAAUAGAAAGGGAGAGAAACUAAAAGGAAAAUUAUGAAUUGAGGACUUCUAGUUUUAAAAGACUUUUAAUUAUCUUAAUA